rnacentral:rRNA from 1 species
CCCAAGUGCCACUCUUAACGGGGUGGCUUUUCAGAAGUGUAAAAAGCUUCUGGAAUAAGGGCUGGGCAAGACCGGUGCCAGCCGCCGCGGUAACACCGGCAGCUCAAGUGGUAGCCGCUUUUAUUGGGCCUAAAGCGUCCGUAGCCGGUCUGAUAAGUCUCUGGUGAAAUCCC